rnacentral:rRNA from 1 species
AUUGAACGCUGGCGGCAGGCCUAACACAUGCAAGUCGAGCGGAGCGGCGGACGGGUGAGUAAUUCCUAGGAAUCUGCCUGGUAGAGGGGGAUAACGUCCGGAAACGGGCGCUAAUAUCGCAUAAUCUAAGAUGAGCCUAGGUCGGAUUAGCUAGUUGGUGGGGUAAAGGCCUACCAAGGCGACGAUCCGUAACUGCUCUGAGAGGAUGAUCAGUCACACUGGAACUGAGACACGGUCCAGACUCCUACGGGAGGCAGCAGUGGGGAAUAUUUGCCAAUGGGCGAAAGCCUGAUCCAGCCAUGCCGCGUUUGUGAAGAAGUUCUUCGGAUUUUAAAGCACUUUAAGUUGGGAGGCGUUACCAACAGAAUAAGCCCCGGCUAACUUCGUGCCAGCAGCCGCGGUAAUAC